rnacentral:rRNA from 1 species
CGGGUGGUAAUGCCGGAUGUUCCACAUGAUCGCAUGUGAUUGUGGGAAAGAUUCUAUCGGCGUGGGAUGGGGUCGCGUCCUAUCAGCUUGUUGGUGAGGUAACGGCUCACCAAGGCUUCGACGGGUAGCCGGCCUGAGAGGGCGACCGGCCACAUUGGGACUGAGAUACGGCCCAGACUCCUACGGGAGGCAGCAGUGGGGAAUAUUGCACAAUGGGCGCAAGCCUGAUGCAGCGACGCCGCGUGAGGGAUGGAGGCCUUCGGGUUGUAAACCUCUUUUGUUUGGGAGCAAGCCUUCGGGUGAGUGUACCUUUCGAAUAAGCGCCGGCUAACUACGUGCCAGCAGCCGCGGUAAUACGUAGGGCGCAAGCGUUAUCCGGAUUUAUUGGGCGUAAAGGGCUCGUAGGCGGCUCGUCGCGUCCGGUGUGAAAGUCCAUCGCUUAACGGUGGAUCUGCGCCGGGUACGGGCGGGCUGGAGUGCGGUAGGGGAGACUGGAAUUCCCGGUGUAACGGUGGAAUGUGUAGAUAUCGGAAAAGAACACCA